AACCGUUCAGGGGUAAACGGGAGAAAUCCUGAAUUCGAAAGGGAUUGGAUUCACCCAUCUACCGGCGCACCAGGCAGCAAUUGCAUGACGACGUCGGACGCCCGCGGCGAUUCAUUUCGCUCGCGGUGUCGUUUCGGGCGCGCUCCAGUGAUUGUUAAGUGUACUGGCCCUGGAGAGGUGCACUUCCUCCCUGAGUAGAAACGUCGCGACCCGUUGGGUGCGGGUCCCAAGGCCCGGGAAGGAAGACCGUGCGUCCCGGGUUGACCUUGAGUGUCCUCCCGGGCGCGUGGACUCCCGGUGACCCGGCCCGCUGCCCGACGGCAAGACCAGAGGAGUCGAUCCGCUGAAUGUGAAACACUUUGGAAUGUGCAGCGUCCGGCCCGGCGCCGACGCGCGCGGGGAAUUAAUGGUGCAAACCGGGGGAUACCGUGCUGAGCACGGUCCCGGCCCCGCUGCGUCGUCGGUCCGCCGGUGUCCUCGGACCGGAUCGAAGACUCCCGUCUGCGACGAUCAUCUUCGGAUGG
rnacentral:rRNA from 1 species